UACAACCAUAUCAUGUUGAAACACCGGUACCCGUACGAUUACCGGAGUUAAGCAACAUCGAGUCUGGUCAGUACCAAGAUGGGUGACCACUUAAGAAUAAAGGUGAUGUA